UACGAAGGGUGCAAGCGUUAAUCGGAAUUACUGGGCGUAAAGCGUGCGUAGGCGGUUUCUUAAGUCCGUUGUGAAAGCCCUGGGCUCAACCUGGGAACUGCGAUGGAUACUGAGGAGCUGGAGUACGGUAGAGGAAGGUGGAAUUCCCGGUGUAGCGGUGAAAUGCGUAGAGAUCGGGAGGAACAUCAGUGGCGAAAGCGACUUCCUGGACCAAUACUGACGCUCAUGUGCGAAAGCGUGGGGAGCAAACAGG
rnacentral:rRNA from 1 species